rnacentral:rRNA from 1 species
AUUGAACGCUGGCGGCAGGCCUAACACAUGCAAGUCGAACGGUAACAGGAAGAAGCUUGCUUCUUUGCUGACGAGUGGCGGACGGGUGAGUAAUGUCUGGGAAGCUGCCUGAUGGAGGGGGAUAACUACUGGAAACGGUAGCUAAUACCGCAUAACGUCGCAAGACCAAAGAGGGGGACCUUCGGGCCUCUUGCCAUCGGAUGUGCCCAGAUGGGAUUAGCUAGUAGGUGGGGUAACGGCUCACCUAGGAGACGAUCCCUAGCUGGUCUGAGAGGAUGACCAGGCACACUGGAACUGAGACACGGUCCAGACUCCUAAGGGAGGCAGCAGUGGGGAAUAUUGCACAAUGGGCGAAAGCCUGAUGCAGCCAUGCCGCGUGUAUGAAGAAGGCCUUCGGGUUGUAAAGUACUUUCAGCGGGGAGGAAGGGAGUAAAGUUAAUACCUUUGCUCAUUGACGUUACCCGCAGAAGAAGCACCGGCUAACUCCGUGCCAGCAGCCGCCGUAAAAC